CAAGCGUCUGGGGUAAGGAGUCGCUGCCAUCAGCCCCCCCCCCCCCCCCCACUCACUGAUGAGUCUCUAGGCAGUGAUUACGAGACGAAACGCAAA
rnacentral:hammerhead_ribozyme from 17 species